rnacentral:rRNA from 1 species
GAUGAACGCUGGCGGCGUGCCUAAUACAUGCAAGUCGAGCGGACAGACGAGGAGCUUGCUCCUCUGUCGUUAGCGGCGGACGGGUGAGUAACACGUGGAUAACCUACCUAUAAGACUGGGAUAACUUCGGGAAACCGGAGCUAAUACCGGAUAAUAUAUUGAACCGCAUGGUCCAUUGGUGAAAGACGGCUUUGGCGGCCACUAUCGAUGGAGCCGGGCCUGUUUAACUUGUUGGGUAGGGAACGGCUUACCAAGGUAACGAUGCGUAACCGAGCUGAGAGGGGGAUCGACAACACUGGAACGAAGACACGGUCCAGACUCCUAGGGGAGGCAGCAGUAGGGAAUCUUCCGCAAUGGGCGAAGGCCUGACGGAGCAACGCCGGUUGGGGGAUGAAGGUCUUCGGUUCGUAAAACUCGUUUAUUAGGGAAGAACAAAUGUGUAAGUAACUAUGCACGUCUUGACGGUACCUAAUCAGAAAGCCACGGCUAACUACGUG